rnacentral:rRNA from 1 species
GUAGGUGGCAAGCGUUGUCCGGAAUUAUUGGGCGUAAAGCGCGCGCAGGCGGUUCUUUAAGUCUGAUGUGAAAGCCCACGGCUCAACCGUGGAGGGUCAUUGGAAACUGGAGAACUUGAGUACAGAAGAGGAAAGCGGAGUUCCACGUGUAGCGGUGAAAUGCGUAGAGAUGUGGAGGAACACCAGUGGCGAAGGCGGCUUUCUGGUCUGUAACUGACGCUGAGGCGCGAAAGCGUGGGGAGCAAACAGGAUUAGAUACCCUGGUAGUCCACGCCGUAAACGAUGAGUGCUAAGUGUUAGGGGGUUUCCGCCCCCCUUAGUGCUGCAGCUAACGCAUUAAGCACUCCGCCUGGGAGUACGGCCGCAAGGCUGA